rnacentral:pre_miRNA from 1 species
AAAGUACUCCCUCCGUCCCAAAAUUCUUGUCUUAGAUUUGUCUAGAUACGGAUGUAUCAAGUCACAUUUUAGUAUUAGAUACAUCCAUGUCUAGACAAAUCUAAGACAAGAAAUUUGGGACAGAGGGAGUAGUUG